GUGAAUGAUCAAGCAGAUAAGCAACUUUAAAGUUUAGUUGCACUAAUUACAAAUUAAGCAUAGUUGAUGAUCAAGCAGAUCAUGCAACUAAAGUUCAGUUGACUAUUAUAUUAAGCAUUAGUUGAUGAUCAACAGAUAAGCAACUUUAGAGUUUAGUUGACUAUCUUUAACGCAUUAGUUGACGAUCAACAGAU